rnacentral:rRNA from 1 species
UUAAAUUGAAGAGUUUGAUCAUGGCUCAGAUUGAACGCUGGCGGCAGGCCUAACACAUGCAAGUCGAACGGUAACAGAAAGCAGCUUGCUGCUUUGCUGACGAGUGGCGGACGGGUGAGUAAUGUCUGGGAAACUGCCUGAUGGAGGGGGAUAACUACUGGAAACGGUAGCUAAUACCGCAUAACGUCGCAAGACCAAAGAGGGGGACCUUCGGGCCUCUUGCCAUCGGAUGUGCCCAGAUGGGAUUAGCUUGUUGGUGGGGUAACGGCUCACCAAGGCGACGAUCUCUAGCUGGUCUGAGAGGAUG